AUGGUCCUCAUUUUCCUGGCAGCCCUGGUGGAACUGGCAGACUUUGGUCAUGCCCAAAAGGACUCUGUGCUCCAGUUCCCAGCAGAAAUGACCAUCCAGGUGGGACACAACGCGACUCUGCACUGCAAUUUCUCCACCAGCUAUUCCAAUCCAUACAUGUUUUGGUACCAGCAGUGCCAGACUCAGUCCCCUCAGAUGCUGCUGCGGGUGGACAAAUGGAAACCUCAAGUGGAUUCAGGGAGGUUCUCCUCUACACUGUCUGUGGAGACCUCGCAGGUGUUUCUGCAUGUGCGGGAUGCCGAGCUCCAGGAUGGCACUGCCUAUUUCUGUGCACUGAGCCCACAGCAGUGCCCACAGGGAAUCACCAGUGCUGGAGGGAGCCCCUAUGUUCCUGAGUCCAUGACAGUUUCUCUGUCCAACAGCUGGUAA